GUGUACUACAUUACCCAGAAGCGCUCCUGCUGAAACCUGAAAUUUACACAGUAAUGGUGAUAUGCUAAUAAAGCAAAGAGUGAUAAUGCAUGAUAAUGUUAACUUCCAUAAACUGCUUGAUAAGAGCCAAGAUAAACUAUAUUCAUUUCUGACUCUAGAUUGUUGCCACAGCCCAGCCUGUUGUUUUUUCUUUGUUUGUAGUUUUUUUUUUCUCCAGGGUUAAAAGUGAAAGUUUUGCAUAGGAUGAGAGGAAGGCUUACUGGCGAGUGAAAGGCCGACGUGUCCAUCAGGCUGGCUGCUUCAUGACAGGAAAACAUGAAAGGUCCCGAUCCCAAACUCAGUUCUUCCAGGUUGUCCUGGAAAAUACUGCGUGUGGCCGCGACAAAGUCUGACAAUCAGAAAAGCACCACAAAGAGGAAAAGCUCAUCCAUCACAUCGCCGUGGACACCUUGUGUCACAUUUCAUUUCAUUUCAUUUUCUUUCAUCCUCAUGAGGGUCGAGGGGGUGCUGGAGCCUAUCCCAGCUGUCUUCAGGCGAGAGGUGGGGUACACCUUGGACUGGUCGGCAGCCAAUCACAGGGCAUAUAUAGACAAACAACCAUUCACACUCACAUUCAUACCUAUGGACAAUUUGGAGGCGCUAUUUAACCCGGCAUGGUGGAAUUGAACUCGGGUCUCCUAGGUGUGUGUAACAUUUGAUUAAAAAAAAUGCAUUUAUGUAGUAUCCUACACUACACACGAGGUAGCGGUAAUGUUACAUUGACACAAUAGCCACUGCGGAAAGUACAGGAAGCAAAAAAAAGAACAAUAAGGAACUCUCCCAAUGCUAACGUGUGUGUCUAUAUUAUGUCCUAUUUUCUGCUAUGUCUACUAGUUUGGGUCAUAUGAGUGUAAAUGUGACUAUAGGGGUGUUAUUCAUGUCUAGAGGGUCUGAUGUUUCUACUUUGCAGAAAUUCACUCAUUCAUUGAUUGGAUGUGGAAGAAUGAACCGCCAUAGAUGCUGGAUGCUGGAUGAGUGUACUGUAUCCUCUUACAUGUGUGUAUUGAAAGCCAACACUUUUAGGGAGGAAAGUGCGGACACAGAGCAAGGUCAUGCUAACACAACGAGACAUGGUGGCGUACGCGUCACAGCUAGUCAGUGAUGUAGCUUGUGAUUUGACAGCCACUCAACACAGAUCUGUCACAGAUCUGCCACUGAUGUGUGUGUGUGUGUGUGUGUUUAGGUACCUCCAUAGGCCACGGUGCCCUGCGGGUCUGUGGUCAGGUUCUGUCGCAGCUUCUGUCUUUUCUCAUCUGUGACAUCCAAGCCAAGGAAGGUGAGAGCCUGCAAGAGAUGAAGAGAACACGACACUACUUUGGUGGCACGGGCUGCUGGUGACACACAUGGGUCUGGGUUCUUAUGGCUUCAAGGUGGCUUCAGGACACAAGCAUUGACACCUGAAAUGUGGAUAUCUGGUGGACAGAUGUCAGGGGAAGGCGAGGACACUGACGGUGACUCCUCUGCACAGAUCUGCAAAGGAAUAGAACUCAUCUAUGAAGCAAUACAGAGAGUGUACAUACAGUGGUGGUAUUUGCCGGCCCCAGUUAAACCACAGGACUGUACCGAGACCACAGCACCUUCUCUGGUCAUUUCCAAGCUUGGGCUAGCGUGAACCGCGGAGAGGACAUGUAGCAAGACAUGUUUACACUCGGGAAUGAGCAUCCAACAUCAUCAGACGCUGUGGUCAUGACAGGUGACACCAAACAAUAACAAAACAUUUUCCAUAAGCACAACUUGAACCGCUAAGAAGCUGGCAAUGUGGGCACAUGGAAGUAGCAUGGAUGAAACAUGAAAAAAAAGCAUGAUAGAAGCUUCACCGUCACUAGAUGCAAGGCCCCCUGGUAGAAUCCUCUUCACGUAAACUCCAAACUCCUCUCCCGUCAGCUCCUUCACUCCUCCAAUCACUUUAAUUCCUGUUGGGAAGACAAAUCCAUCGAUUCAAACGCCGCAUUUCUCAUCAGGCCUGCAGCAUCAAAGGCAGUCGGAUAGAUAACGUUAAACCCCAUAACGUUGUGCUUCUCACGACCAGAUACACAUAAGCCAUGACGUGCUUUUUUUUUUAAAAAGUUUGUGUACAUCUAGAGGUAAUUAUUUCACACCUAAAGGCUUUUAUUUAGUCCUUAGAUUAGUCCUAAUUUUUUCUUUUAAUCAGUUAGUCUGAGCUAUUUUUAAUGCUGUCAGAUUUAUUGCUAUGACAUUAUCAUUUCCUCAUAUUAGUGGGAUUAUUA